GAUAACGCUAGCGGUGUGCAUUAUGCAUGCAAGUCGAACGGUUUAUCGCAAGAUAAACAGUGGCAAACGGCUGAAUAACGCGUAAGCAAUCUGUCCUUAAGUGGGGAAUAAUCCGCCGAAAGGUGGACUAAUACCGCAUGUGGUAGUGGAGGCAGUACUUCAUUACUAAAGCUUUCGAGCGCUUGAGGAGGAGCUUGCGUCCUAUCAGGUAGUUGGUGGGUAACGGCCUACCAAGCCUACGACGGGUAGCUGGUCUGAGAGGACGUCCAGCCAGACGGGGACUGAGACACGGCCCCGACUCCUACGGGAGGCGUG
rnacentral:rRNA from 1 species